UGGGGAAUAUUGCACAAUGGGCGCAAGCCUGAUGCAGCCAUGCCGCGUGUGUGAAGAAGGCCUUCGGGUUGUAAAGCACUUUCAGCGGGGAGGAAGGCGAUAAGGUUAAUAACCUCAUCGAUUGACGUUACCCGCAGAAGAAGCACCGGCUAACUCCGUGCCAGCAGCCGCGGUAAUACGGAGGGUGCAAGCGGUAAUCGGAAUUACUGGGCGUAAAGCGCACGCAGGCGGUCUGUCAAGUCGGAUGUGAAAUCCCCGGGCUCAACCUGGGAACUGCAUUCGAAACUGGCAGGCUAGAGUCUUGUAGAGGGGGGUAGAAUUCCAGGUGUAGCGGUGAAAUGCGUAGAGAUCUGGAGGAAUACCGGUGGCGAAGGCGGCCCCCUGGACAACGACUGACGCUCAGGUGCGAAAGCGUGGGGAGCAAACAGG
rnacentral:rRNA from 1 species